rnacentral:rRNA from 1 species
CCUACGGGUGGCAGCAGUGAGGAAUAUUGGUCAAUGGGCGAGAGCCUGAACCAGCCAAGUAGCGUGAGGGAAGACGGUCCUAUGGAUUGUAAACCUCUUUUGUCGGGGAACAAAAGGUGCCACGCGUGGCGUUCUGAGAGUACCCGAAGAAAAAGCAUCGGCUAACUCCGUGACAGCAGCCGCGGUAAUACGGGGGAUGCGAGCGUUAUCCGGAUUUAUUGGGUUUAAAGGGGGCGCAGGGGGAAGAUAAAGUCAGCGGUAAAAUUGGGGGGCCCAACCUCAUCGGGACGUUGAAAACGGUUGUCUUGAGUGCACGAGAGGUAAGCGGAAUUCGUGGUGUAGCGGUGAAAUGCAUAGAUAUCACGCAGAACUCCGAUUGCGAAGGCAGCAUACCGGACCGCAACUGACGCUCAGGCACGAAAGUGUGGGUAUCGAACAGGAUUAGAUACCCGAGUAGUC